UUAAUAUUUCUGCAACGUAUGAAAUAAACAUUCACACUAAUUCAUAUGAAUGAAGCCUCUAAAUAUGUUUUUCUCAUGUCAGAUCAAGCUUUUGCCACAAAAUCAGUUACAACAUUUUUUCUGUUUUCAUGGUUUUUGUCUUGUUUUUACAUUUUGCAAACUGUGGAUAAAGGAAGAUGGACCUGUUUAUCAUAACAAAAUGAGAAGACAUUUUAGGAGUGCUUCAGUUCACCUUUUGCUUAUGAGUAGGGAGGGACUAGGCAAAAAUGAAGUACGUAGGGGUACAGUGGCUCCCUUGCAACAAAGAAGUGGUCAGCAUGAAGAUGAAAGCCUCAUGUUCAGGAUGGUGGAAGUGAAAAGCAGGAAAAGCCUCUUGAGCCUCCAGGGCAACGUUGGACUACCCCAGCUUCUUGUUGCACAGGGCAAGUGUAUCAUUUAAGAUACUGUUUUUGAGUCUGUUAUUUGCACCUACACAUUCCUAAAUGCUGUGCAGUAUCACUGAUUUUUCCCCUCUUUUUUAUUUUUAUAUGCAAUAAACUGACUCUACCCA